rnacentral:rRNA from 1 species
UACGGGGGGGUGCGAGCGUUGUCCGGAAUCACUGGGCGUAAAGGGCGCGUAGGCGGCGUGUCAAGUCAGGCGUGAAAGCCCCGGGCUCAACCUGGGAACCGCGCUUGAGACUGGCAUGCUCGAGUUCGGGAGAGGAUGGUGGAAUUCCCAGUGUAGAGGUGAAAUUCGUAGAUAUUGGGAAGAACACCGAUGGCGAAGGCAGCCAUCUGGACCGACGACGUGACGCUGAGGCGCGAAAGCGUGGGGAGCAAACAGG